rnacentral:rRNA from 1 species
UACGUAGGGCGCAAGCGUUGUCCGGAAUUAUUGGGCGUAAAGAGCUCGUAGGCGGCUUGUCACGUCGAUUGUGAAAGCCCGAGGCUUAACCUCGGGUCUGCAGUCGAUACGGGCUAGCUAGAGUGUGGUAGGGGAGAUCGGACUUCCUGGUGUAGCGGUGAAAUGCGCAGAUAUCAGGAGGAACACCGGUGGCGAAGGCGGAUCUCUGGGCCAUUACUGACGCUGAGGAGCGAAAGCGUGGGGAGCGAACAGG